rnacentral:lncRNA from 1 species
AAGGAUGGUGGUAAUACGGUGUUUUGGUUGGUUUGAGAAUGAAUGACAUCAUUUGCUGAGAUGGGGAAUAUUAAAAUGGGGGGAAUGUUUUGGGAGGAUUAGUAAAUUGGGAAGUUUGAGAUGUCUAUGAGAGGUCCAAAUGGAGAUGCUAGGCAGGUGGGGAAGAGGUUGGAGCUGGACUUUAGCUUUAAGUAUCACCAGCACAUAGAUAGUAUUUAAACCCAUGAGGCAGGAUGAGAUCACCAAGCAAGUAAUUUACAUAGGGAAGAGCUGUAGUGGCAAGAUAUCUCACUUCCCCAUGAUAACUUGGUUUCCACCUCGUGGGUGGAGCCCAGUGAUACUGACCGCAGGUUACUUCCUGGAACUCACAAAGGAUUCCACCAGCCGGCUUCAUGCUAGUCUGAGUGUCGGCUAUGUUCCUCCCUUCACUGGCCUUCUCUGAGCAUUAAUACAACUUCUUCCUUUACUGAGCCAAUGGCACCAGUAACACAGUACAGCUGUGUAUUAAGAGGAUCAACAAACCCGGAACCUAUCACAAGGAAAUUUUGUUACAGAGAAGACAGACAUAAAAAUCAGCAUCUCCCGUCACUGCUUCCAAGGUACAUGAACUCAGCUGAGUCUCCUGGAGCCUUCCUCCCUCCUGAGCUCAGAGAAAGUGUUGAGAAAAAUGUGAAUUGGAGAAAUUACUCAGUCUCUAUUAUUUCAUGGGAAUGUGUCUUCAGAUGGGUGUUUCCCGUAAAACAUGGCUUCUUUUUAAGAAACUGAACUAUAUUUUAGUUGUUUCAGAAGAUAUUUCUCAACAUUUACUCCAAGGUAAGAAAACAUUUUUUAAAAGAUGUAUAAAUAAUCCAAAUGUUUUGCUUUAAAUAUCAUAUAUAAU